rnacentral:lncRNA from 1 species
AUGGUGGUUGUUGGGGUGGUGGUUGUUGUUGGGGUGGUGGUUGUUGUUUGGGUGGUGGUUGCCAUUGUACUGGUUGUAGUUGGGGCGGUGGUUGUCGUUGGGGUGGUGGUUGUCGUAGUACUGGUUGUAGUUGGGACGGUGGUUGUUGGGGUGGUGGUUGGCGUUGUACUGGUUGCAGUUGGGACAGUGGUUGUUGGGGUGGUCGUUGUCGUAGUACUGGUUGUAGUUGGGAUGGUGGUUGUUGGGGUGGUGGUUGUCGUAGUACUGGUUGUAGUUGGGACGGUGGUUGUCGUUGGGGUGGUGGUUGUCGUAGUACUGGUUGUAGUUGGGACGGUGGUUGUUGGGGUGGUGGUUGGCGUUGUACUGGUUGUAGUUGGGACAGUGGUUGUUGGGGUGGUCGUUGUCGUAGUACUGGUUGUAGUUGGGACGAUGGUUGUUGGGGUGGUGGUUGUCGUAGUACUGGUUGUAGUUGGGACGGUGGUUGUCGUUGGGGUGGUGGUUGUCGUAGUACUGGUUGUAGUUUGGGCGGUGGUUGUCGUGGUGGUGGUUGUCGUUGUACUGGUUGUAGUUGGGGCGGUGGUUGUCGGGGUGGUGGUUGACGUUGUACUGGUUGUAGUUGGGACAGUGGUUGUUGGGGUGAUGGUUGCCGUUGUACUGGUUGUAGUUGGGGCGGUGGUUGCCGUUGUACUGGUUGUAGUUGGGACAGUGGUUGUUGGGGUGGUGGUUGGCGUUGUACUGGUUGUAAUUGGGGCGGUGGUUGGAGUUGGGGUGGUGGUUGGCGUUGUACUGGUUGUAGUUGGGGCGGUGGUUGUCGUUGGGGUGAUGGUCGUCGUAGUACUGGUUGUAGUCGGGACGGUGGUUGUUACGGUGGUGGUUGUUGUUGGGGCGGUGGUUGUAGUUGUACUGGUGGUAGUUGGGUUAGUGGUUGUAGUUGGGAUGGUAGUUGUUGUUGGGGUGGUGGUUGUAGUUGCGGCGGUGGUUGUUGUUGUAGUUGGGGCGGUGGUUGUAGUUGUUGUUGGGGUGGUGGUUGUAGUUGCGGUGGUGGUUGUAGUUGGGGCAUUGGUUGUAGUUGUAGCUGGGAUGGGGCUUGUGGUCGCAGCGGUGGUUGUUGUUGCGGCGGUGGUUGUAGUUGUUGUUGGAAUGGUGGUUGUAGUUGGGGCGGUGGUUGUAGUUGUAGCUGGGGCGGUGGUUGUGGUCGCGGCGGUGGUUGUAGUUGUUGUUGGGGCGGUGGUUGUAGUUGGGGCGGUGGUUGUUGUUGCGGCAGUGGUUGUUGUUGCGGCGGUGGUUGUAGCUGGGACGGUGGUUGGGCUCACGGCGGUGGUUGUAGUUGUAGCUGUGAUGGUGGUUGUGGUUGCGGUGGUGGUUGUAGUCGCAGCGGUGGUUGUAGUUGCGGCGAUGGUUGUGGUUGGGAUGGUGGUUGUAGUUGGGGCGGUGGUUGUAGUUGUGGUGGUGGUUGUAGUUGUUGUUGGGGUGGUGGUUGUAGUUGCGGGGGUGGUUGUGGUUGUAGUUGGGACAGUGGUUGUGGUUGCGGCGGUGGUUGUUGUUGCGGCUGUGGUUGUAGUUGUUGUUGGGGCGGUGGUUGUAGUUGUAGUUGGGGUGUUGGUUGUAGUUGGGGCGGUGGUUGUAGUUGUUGUUGGGGUGGUGGUUGUAGUUGGGGCGGUGGUUGUAGUUGCGGCGAUGGUUGUGGUUGUAGUUGGGAUGGUUGUACUUGUGGCGGUGGUUGUAGUUGUAGUUGGGACAGUGGUUGUAGUUGGGAUGGUAGUUGUGGUUGUAGUUGCGGCGGUGGUUGUAGUUGCAGCAGUGGUUGUAGUUACGGCUGUGGUUGUAGUUGGGGCAGUGGUUGUAGUUGGGGCAGUGGUUGUAGUUGAUGUUGGGGCGGUGGUUGUAGAUGCGGCAGUGGUUGUGGUUGUAGUUGAGACAGUGGUUGUAGUUGGGGCGGUGGUUGUAGGUGGGGCGAUGGUUGUUGUUGGGGCGGUGGUUGUAGUUGUGGCAGUGGUUGUAGUUGAUGUUGGGGCGGUGGUUGUAGAUGCGGCAGUGGUUGUGGUUGUAGUUGGGACAGUGGUUGCAGUUGUGGCGGUGGUUGUUGUUGGGGCGGUGGUUGUAGUUGUAGUUGGGAUGGUGGUUGUAGUUGGGGCGGUGGUUGUGGUUGUAGUUGGGAUGGUGGUUGUAGUUGGGGCCGUGGUUGUGGUUGUAGUUGGGAUGGUGGUUGUAGUUGGGGCGGUGGUUGUAGUUGUGGCGGUGGUUGUAGUUGUUGGGGUGGUGGUUGUAGUUGCGGGGGUGGUUGUAGUUGCGGGGGUGGUUGUGGUUGUGGCGGUGGUUGUAGUUGUUGGGGUGGUGGUUGUAGUUGCGGGGGUGGUUGUAGUUGCGGGGGUGGUUGUGGUUGUCGUUGGGGCGGUGGUUGUAGUUGCAGCAGUGGUUGUAGUUGCGGCGGUGGUUGUGGUUGUAGUUGGGAUGGUGGUUGUAGUUGGGGCAGUGGUUGUGGUUGUAGUUGGGAUGGUGAUUGUAGUUGGGGAGGUGGUUGUAGUUGUGGCGGUGGUUGUAGUUGUUGUUGGAGUGGUGGUUGUAGUUGCGGGGGUGGUUGUAGUCGCGGGGGUGGUUGUAGUUGCGAGGGUGGUUGUGGUUGUAGUUGGGACGGUUGUAGUUGCGGCGGUGGUUGUAGUUGUAGUCUGGACGGUGGUUGUAGUUGCGGCGGUGGUUGUAAUUGUAGCUGGGACAGUGGUUGUGGUCGCGGCGGUGGUUGUUGUUGCGGCUGUGGUUGUAGUUGUUGUUGGGGCGGUGGUUGUAGUUGUAGUUGGGACGGUUGUAGUUGUGGCGGUGGUUGUAGUUGUAGUUGGGACGGUGGUUGUAGUUGGGACGGUAGUUGUGGUUGUAGUUGCGGCGGUGGUUGUAGUUGCAGCAGUGGUUGUAGUUGCAGCGGUGGUUGUGGUUGUAGUUGGGAUGGUGGUUGUAGUUGGGGCGGUGGUUGUGGUUGUAGUUGGGAUGGUGGUUGUGGUUGGGGUGGUGGUUGUAGUUGCGGGGGUGGUUGUAGUUGUAGUUGGGGCGGUGGUUGUAGUUGGGAUGGUGGUUGUAGUUGCGGCGGUGGUUGUAGUUGUAGUUGGAACGGUGUUUGUAGUUGCGGCGGUGGUUGUAGUUGUAGCUGGGACAGUGGUUGUGGUCGCGGCGGUGGUUGUUGUUGCGGCUGUGGUUGUAGUUGUUGUUGGGGCGGUGGUUGUAGUUGUAGUUGGGGUGGUGGUUGUAGUCGGGGCAGCAGUCGUAGUUGGUGCUGGAGAACAGGCAACACCUGAUACGGUACCAACGCUCUGCAUGAAAGGUAGAGAUCCCAGGCUUUGAGCAGCUGCACACAGGUUUGUAGAUGCGCAGCCCUGAGCUGGAUACGUGCUGGUGCCACUGUUGACUGCAGAUCAAAAAGAAGAAUUUCAGGAUUUCUUUUAAAUUGCCUAAUUUCAGGGUAGCUUAAUAUAUUUCACACAAAGAACAAUUUAACAGCUUUUUAAAAUGUUUAUGUGUUUGUCUGACUUCCAGGCUUGAAAUUUUAAAUCUUAUCACAGUAACUUUCACACCCAAGGAUAACAUUUAGUAUAAAUUAGGGUAAAAGUUUCCGCUCUUUUAUAUGUCAGAUGUAUCAGAAAAAAUUUGAAAUCAUCUUUGAUAGAAAACGAUGACACAACUGAUACAAAAUAAAGACUCACUGGUUGAUUGGAAGCAUUGGUUCUCCACUCCCUGACACUGUAAUGUGGAGGAGCACUGGCCAGUGGAAGGGUUACAAAAGUUGCAUACUCCACCAUUAUUUGACUGAGAAGCAGGAUCUAAAACAGAAAAGAACAUCGUUUCAUUUCAGAACAGAGACCCUUAGAACAUCAGAAUAUUGUUUUUAUUGCUUUAUAUUAUUCUUUUGUCUUCAAUGACCAACAUAGUAUUUAACUUACUUGGUAGAGUGUCUGAGUUGCAGUUAUCUGUGUUGCAGCAUUGAGCAGAAGCCAGAGCACUUUGAAAACCCAGGUUGACUGAAAAUGUCUGAGAGGUUACGGCUGGACACAGGGAGGAAGAUGCACAUGCCUUGUAGAUUUGUGUAACCGGAGUUCCAGAUGAAGUAGCUACAAAUUGAAAGUGCAGUUUGUUAAUGUUGAUGGAACACAAAUAGCUUCAUAGGGGAUGUAAUUUAGUGAAAAUAUUAAAUAUGAUAUGAAGAAAACAUUACCUAGAAUGGUAGCUGUAACGCACAUUGGUUCCGAUGAGGAGCAUUGAAGUAGUGCUGUGCUUGAACACGUCGAAUCUCUGCAGGUUUGACACUGAAGGGCUCCAGCUGCAAUCAGGAGAGAAACACAGAAAUGAUGAUCACAAUUUAAAUAUAUAGGAAAUAUGAGAUGUUUUGAAAGUUCAUAUUGGGUUACAGAAGGUUACAGUCG